AGCUGAGACCCCGCCGGGAAAAUGUGCUUAAAAAAGGGUAAAACACCACAAAAACGGAGAGGUGGGAGAGAAACUGGCCCUGAGGUGAAAGGAGGAGGUGCGGGCAGAGGCUGUCCGGCAGAAGGUGGCUGUGGAGAGGAGCGGGGCCUGCGCAAGCCGAGGGCCGGGCCCUGUAGCCCUGAGCUAAAAUCACUUCUGCGGCAGCUUGCUGCCUCACCCAGUCUGGAAGAAUGAAGAGAGGCGGUUUGGGAGCGAGGAGGCAUGAGCGCGCAGCAGCAAACACAAGGCGUGAAGAGAUGGAGACUGAUGUUUGGAAAUCAGACGCGGGGCAGAAGCGUAAGCCGUGGUGCUGUUGGAUGCGGGCGAGAGAUUCGCAUCCUCCCAGCGAGCCCUGCCGUCGCUCCCGCAGCUCCGUGUGGGUGCGGGCGUCUGUGCUGAGAGACCCCACUGCAGGAGUGAGCGUGGAGUCUCCCAGGGUGUUAUUUAUUCUAGUGACUCCCUCGCAGCAGUGUUUGGAAAGUAAAUUAGGCUUUUUUUUUUUUCCUGGCCCUGUGGGUAGUAGGCAUUGAGGAAUUUCAAAUGAUGGUUACUGUUCAAAUCAAACUCCCUCUCUGUUUUACCCAGGUAAAUGGAACCGAUCUUUCCAACUAUUUUUCUAACUUGUUUUAAUGUUGUUUAAUUAUAUUUAAAAGGAACCAUGCUAUUAAUGGGAGAAUCCUACAAAGGAAGAUUAAGGCACAAAGACUUAAAAUCUUUUAAGAUUAGUGGCUCCCCCAUGAUGUGGUUGCAACAGAAUCUAUAUUUAGUUUCUAGCUCUCCUAGUUGGUAAGCAAGACCCUGACACCUGGUGUGGUUUCUCCACAGAAACCUGUCUGUGUCUGCAGACAGCUUGAAAAAAACAGCUGGGAGCACUCUGGUAAUUCCUGUCGGUGUUAAUCCCCAAAUUGCUGCUGUAGCACUCCUGUCAGUCACAGGGCAUGUCAUGAGCUGUAAACCCAUCGGGAAGAAGAUAGACAGGAGAACCUCAGCAAAGAUGCAGUCUGACUGCUGGGUAAAUACCUUUUUUCCCUGAGACUGAGGGAACACUGACAUUUGCAGCUGGGCAUGGGUGGCUUGUCUUGGUACGUCUGCAGCAUGGCAUCAUCUUAUUCUGACCCGAAAUAGAAGAUGCUGACAGAUUAAAAUUUGCCAGUUUUUAUGGUUAUUGCUAUACCAGCUGUAGCACAGCGAUACCUGGUGGCAGUGUGAAGGUAAAUUCAAGGCAAAUAAGCUGGGUUUCAGUUAGCUUUGGUCUGAGUGAUCCCCUUUUGGUAAAACAACCAAAAAAUUUGGGAUAGGAAGUAAAGAUGUUACAAGUUUCAGGCCAGGGAGCUACCCAGGCCUGGGGUUGUCCUUUAAAGUAAAAGACCAGGGAACCCCAUCUCAAAUCUGGUGGUCAUCACUGGGAUUUUGGGCUGCUGUAAAAAUUCCCACCUAGGAGCAAGUUUCCCAAAACCCAAAACAGGACUUCAGUCCCUUACGUUUAAAAAUACACUCUUGUCUGAGCUUGUUACAAUGGGCAGCAUGCUACGUGAACAGCCUAUUUCUUCUUUCAAGUUGCAAGAAAACAGGAGUACUUCUGGAGAGUUACUCAAGUUCAAGGACUACUGGCAUUUUUUCUUAAAAGGUUUAGGCGAUAUCAAUAUUGUUUGCCUUAGCAAUAUAAUGUUUUUCAAUCCUAAAUGAAAGACGCACCUGUCACCGGUUGCUAAAAAAUGCAAUUAAAGAGCCAGCAAAACAAGGUGGUCUUCCCCUUUUCACUAGGGAAGAGAGAAGACUGUGGGAAGUGAGGCCCUCGUGGAAAAGCAGGCCAGGCCAGCAGAGAGCAGUAUUUUAUCAGGAACACCAUUUCCCAAGGGACGGGGCAAAACAGUACACUAUUUAUUUCUCAUAUAUCUUGCAUAUAUGUUCAUAAACAGUGCUGCAGUUAGGGUUAGAGAUGCCAAAGAAUGGGAAUGUAAUGCUGGGGCAGGGGGGGGUCCUCCUGUGAAAAGCAUCAUUUAUGUGCGUGGGCAGCAGUUCUCAGUCUGUUCUUGGAAACCCGCUUGCCUCAUCUAGGGCCCUGGGAGGGAGUGUACAUGGUUUAAAAGGUUUUGUGUGUGGUCAUUCCUAGGAUUAAUUGAAGCCAUAUAGUCUGAGGUGUGUAACAAUUUUUCAAGUAUGAUGUCUAUGUAUUAUAUAUCUUUCUUACAUGUGCACAUUUAGAUUCAUAGCUUGGUAUAUUAUAUAUGUCAUACCUGAGCUAGAAUGUAGGUUAUUGAGAACGCGUUAUUUGGGAAACGAUCUCUGUUACUCCAGUGUUGUAAGAACAAUUGUGCUGGGUGUCUUAAUGAGAAUUAAUAAAUAGUGAUCAAAGGCAAAUUGUACAAAUAUGAGAAACUGUGUAAUGAAAAGGUUAUUUCAUCA